CUGGCAGCCCAUGUCGAUCUGUCAAAUGAAAGAAAAUGAGAAAAGCGAGAAAAGUGAAAAAAUGUUUACUCAAUCACAAUCAGAUUGGUUUGGAUCGAAGGAAUUCGCGAAAAAUGUUGGAUUUAGGCUGAUUCAGGCAUACGAAUUCGGAGUAACGAGUCUUGCUGCUAGAAGAUCGCAGCUUCGCACUACAAUUCCGGUCUGGCAGGAUCUGAAGGGGCAUAUGCAGAAGCUCCGGCAUAUUUGCUUCGCCGACAUGUAUAAAAAGAUGGAGCCGGCGUAGUAGAACAGCGGUAGAGCUCCUGCGCGAAGAAAAAAUGUACAAUUACCUCAAAAGGAACCGAGAAUAUUGAGACCGGACGACUACGAUGACGGAAAAUAGAAUACAAGUGACAAAAAGUCGGAGGAAAAGCAUGCAAAUAAGCUUUACGGCAAUACGGAAGAGGACCUUUGCCAGCAACAGGCGUUCCUUCGCGUUCCGGAAGUCGUGUUUUAGUGCUCGUGAGGCGCGUUAGCAGGCUUAGAAUACUCGUCUAUACUCGUUUUUGUUCGCGGGUUGGAAGAAGUUUUUGGUGAAAAAUUGAGGACACUUUCGCUGUGUUUCAGCAUCUUUUUACGGACUGUUUCGGUUUAAUGUUUGUGUGACGCUCCGGCGGUUAAAAUUUUCCGAUUUUCGGGGGUGAAGUUAAUGUUUCGGUCCGGGAAUAUUUCACGAGUGUUGAGGGGAGAAAAAAUUGGUUGCUUGACGAACGGGGAAGUGAAGUGCUUUCUGCGGUGGCGGAUGCUCUCUUUGUCGCCGAAACCCGUUUUAUUUGGUGGAAUUACUGCUAGUGAAAAGGUGCCCACCAGAAGAUAUCCAGAUAAGCAGUUUGGUUUGUGUCAGUUGACCUUUGUGGCUCCAAAUUUUCUGGUGACUGGUUGAGUUUUCUUUUCACUUUGUAUUGCUGGAAAGUUCGCAAUUUGAGUUGAGGAAAAUUCCUCCGAGGACGAAGAAUAAGGAAGAAAAGAGUGCAAAGAAAAAAGAAGAAAAAGUGCCCGUCGAGACGCCUCUUCUCUGGCUCAGUCCAGAAGAAUAACAACAGCAAGUCGAUUUGUGUUACGGAAGAAAAAGCGCCCUCCUUCAAUGAAGAAGACCUCCCCAACAACAAAUUUUACAUUCAGUCGGAUUACCAACCAGAGUGCGUCUUUUGCAAAAAAAAAAUCUUGUUUUUCUGUUGUGUUUUGAUUUGGAACACCAAGAACGGAAAGGAGGACCAAAAUUUAUUCCUCUUGGAAGCGAAGCGAACUGUUUUGAUACUUUUGGAGGAAACGUACGGACUAAAUUUGCCAUCCAUUGACUCCCAGCGGCCGGAACGAAAUCCACCAAAGUCAACCGUGUCAGAUCAGCGGAUGAAAUUACAACGAAAUCACGGUAUGAACAAAAAUGUUGAAGAAAAGUGGCACACGUCUUCGAAAGCGAAAGCUUUCAGUUCGCGAUAAGCGAUUUGAAAUUAAUAGAAUUCCAUGUUUGCAUGAAGUUUAGUUAUAUAGCUAAUUGAUUAGAGAUGCACAUACGCAGGGGUUCUAUUUUAACUUUGGAAUCACGAAACUUGGUGUUUGUUGAAAGAUUAGUUGGUUGAUAACAUCCCAUGUUUGGAAAUUUUGCCCCAACUCCAAGCAUUUUCAAUUUCGUGAGGCGCGUUUGCAGGCUUAGAAUACUCGUCUAGAUGCCGCAUAUAGCCGACAAGAAGGUCAUCGAGAAGAAAAUCAUCAAGCGGACGCGUUUCAGAUUCACCCGUACGUUUGCGUAUGUUGUGUGGGUGCCCUCUAACACUCACUCCUGAUCCUGUACAUUUCGGACGCUUUGAGCAAAGAAGUUCAUGCAUCGAAAAAACAAUUUCCGAUUAAGUCGAAAGGUGGAAAUGAAGGUCUCUACUGACUAUGAGAAUGCCAUCGAACCAUCACAGUGAAGAACAUCCUGUCGUUUGCCUGGCAGAUCAGCAAGGAAAUGGCAUAUCUAACACCACGAUCUGGUCGUUGAGAAUGUGCUUCUCGCUGAGGAUAUCGUGUGCAAGAUAUACAACUUUAGAUUUACCCGAGACCUGUAGUACGAGGUUAAUGCCCACCUUUAGGAGAAUAAAGGUCGUGUACCGGUGAAACGAAUGAUGAUAACGCUAGCGGACCGCAUCUACAAUACGAAAAGCGAUGGCUGGACAGUCGAAGUCGUGUGCUGUCUGCUGGAAAUCGAUCACCUGUGAGUGAGGGUACCGAAUGGAAUAUCCGAAACAUUGUUCGGAAGAAAUACUCAGUAUAGUUCGUUUCUGUUGAUCGGAUGAACUCCAACUGCGAUUGUCACUCAAAUAUUUGGUUGACUGAUGUGGUGCACUGCAGCAGUUGUGAUACUUCCGGUCGCCCAUAACCACUUGUACGCUGCUGAGGAAUGCAAAACGAGCAGCUGCAUCCGCUGGCAAUAAUGGUUCCUUUGGGGCAAACGAGACCGGUAAAUGCACUUCAUCAUUUGCAGCUAUAUUAAAUAUAUAUUAUAUCAAAUAAAAUAUUGAGAUUUCAAUAAAUUUGUAAACAUUUAAUAGCGUACUGAAAUUGAAAGCACACAACACUUGUUGUUUUGAAAGUAUCAUAAUCAAUUCUAGUGUAAAAAACACAUUUAGUUUUGACAGGAAAUUUUCCUUUUGACAAGUUAAAUACACAUUUAGUUUCAAGAGGAAAAAGUUAUUUUGACAAGUCAUCUCUAUCCAGAGCUUAUACCGAAGUGACAUUUUUGUAAUUGUGAAUUUAACAAUCGUAUACUUUCUACAGCAGCCGUUCGAUAACUGCAAAAUGUUUACUUUUCAGUUAACGAAUGCCGUUCGAUAACUGCAACGCAUUCUAGACGUCAAACGGUUGUCAAUCGACGUCAGAUGCAAUAAAAGUGCAUCUAAAUGUGCAGCG